AGCCAUGUCUUCCAGAGCAUUUGCAGCACAGCAUAGCCUUGGCUGGGCUCUUUGGGUCACCAGGAAGGCACAGAGGAAGUUGGGUAUCAGAAAGCAUCUGAGCUAUUCUCAUUUGUGCUCUGACUGAAUGACUUACCAGCUGGCUCCUGUACGUUUCUGGAGAAAGAUGGACCUGUCCUCAAGGACUAUUUGAAUUUCUCAAGAUGAAGUAACACAAGAAGACGUUAGAAGACAUAAAAAAAUACUUUUCAACAGGAAUCAUCUGGUGUCCUUCUGAAAUUUAGAAGAUUUGUUUUCCAUUCCUCUGUAAUUUACUCUUAAAGAAAACUUUUGAUGACAAACCUCCACCUUGUGAUUCCACUGUUUAAAAAAUAUUUUUUCCCCUUAAAGGGGAUGUUGCAUGAUAUUCCUUGAGUUGUAAUAGGUAAUGAGAUCCCAGAUCGCAUUGUCUUCUGUUUUGACGCAUAUACCUUAUUAAAUAGUUGCAUAUUCCGAAUGACCAGCAUCAGUCUCACAUCUUUUUGCUGACAGAUUUUUGCUUAAUAUAUGUCAAUAUGUGACUACCAUGUUUUCUAGAUACACUUCUGCAUUACAAUGAUUUAUUUGUUCAGACAUAUCUGAGCCUACAACACGGUAGGUCAGGAGCUUUGUUUUAAAUGUUCCUGGUGCUGGGAUUCAUGGUGACAUAUACAACUCAGUACCAUGUAUCCAGGGUUGUCUAGAAACAUCUAAAACUUACAGCUGCUUAGUUAUAGCAUACAAAUAAUUGUUACCACAUUGGACUUUUCAUUUUUCAUUUUGCAAAAAAUAAAUAAAUAAUUCAUAUUGUGU